ACGCACGCUGGCGGCGUGCUUAACACAUGCAAGUCGAACGCUGAAGCUUGGUGCUUGCACUGGGUGGAUGAGUGGCGAACGGGUGAGUAAUACGUGAGUAACCUGCCCUUGACUCUGGGAUAAGCCUGGGAAACUGGGUCUAAUACUGGAUACGACAUGUCACCGCAUGGUGGUGUGUGGAAAGGGUUUUACUGGUUUUGGAUGGGCUCACGGCCUAUCAGCUUGUUGGUGGGGUAAUGGCUCACCAAGGCGACGACGGGUAGCCGGCCUGAGAGGGUGACCGGCCACACUGGGACUGAGACACGGCCCAGACUCCUACGGGAGGCAGCAGUGGGGAAUAUUGCACAAUGGGCGGAAGCCUGAUGCAGCGACGCCGCGUGAGGGAUGACGGCCUUCGGGUUGUAAACCUCUUUCAGCACGGAAGAAGCGAAAGUGACGGUACGUGCAGAAGAAGCGCCGGCUAACUACGUG
rnacentral:rRNA from 1 species